CAGCUCCAUGUGUGUUAUUGCCCUGAAGACCUUCCAAUGGAACAAGAGGUGGAGGUGGAAGACAGUGAUAUGGAUGACCCUGACCCUGUUAUUGAAAUUGGCAUCUUUGGGAGCUCGCUGUCAUCUCUUCACAAAACAUCCCCACGGAAAGCCAAACUUUCCCUUAGCAAGCGUGGCAACGUCCCAGAGUGCAGCCUGGAUCCCGUCAAGGAUAUCACAUGAUACUUCCUUGUCAUGUUUCCUUAGGCUCAUCUUGACUGUCCAUUUCUCAGACCUUCCUUGAUUUUGGUGACCUUGACAAUGUUGAGGAACAGUGGUCAGGCAAAUUCCAGGCUCCUUUGGAAGAAUGACAAUGCUACAGAAAAGCACAUGGAUUUGCAGCUUCGUGGACAUCACCUGUGAGGGUGACAGCUCUUUACUCUCAAUGGAGGAAAGUGAAGCCAGGCUUACUGAGGAAAAAAAACAACCCUCAGAAAUCAAAAUCAGACAGCUAUACCCGGUCUGGCUGCCCCAGAGCGGGAAGACCUGAACCUUGGCAGGGCUGGCUGCUGUGCUGACCAGUCUGAUAUCAAGAAGAGAAGUGAUUUUCCGAUCCUGCAUCCGGUACAGCUGUGCGGACUCUGCUCUUCCUGCCAUUCC
rnacentral:lncRNA from 1 species